UUAAGCUAAGAAGAGCGUAGGGAGAAUGCCUUGGCAUUAGGAGCCGAUGAAGGACGUGAUAAGCUGCGAUAAGCUGCGGGGAUCAGCAAGUAUGAAUUGAUCCGCAGAUUUCCGAAUGGAGCAAUCCGUAUGUGUAUGCACAUACAUCAUAUACUGAAUCAAAUAGGUAUAUGAGGGGAACCGCCUGAACUGAAACAUCUAAGUAGGGCGAGGAAGAGAAAUCAACCGAGAUUCUGUGAGUAGUGGCGAGCGAAAGCGGAAGAGGCUAAACCAUAGGUAGCAAUACUUAUGGGGUUUCGGACAGCAUUUAGUAUUGAUAAUUUCUAGUUGAAACGUGUGGGAAAACGUACCGAAGAGUGUGAGAGUCACGUAAGCGAAAGAGAAAGUCAGCGAGCUGUAUCCAAAGUACCGCGGGACACGUGAAACCCCGUGGGAAGAUGGGGGGACCAUCCUCCAAGCCUAAAUACUACCUAAUGACCGAUAGCGAAUAGUACUGUGAAGGAACGGUGAAAAGAACCCCGGGAGGGGAGUGAAAAAGAACCUGAAACCCUAUGCUUACAAGCACCGAGAGCACGUCAAAGUGUGAUCGGGUACCUUUUGUAGAAUGGUCCGGCGAGUUAUUGUAUGCGGCAAGGUUAAGUGCUUAAGGCACGGAGCCGAAGCGAGAGCAAGUCUGAAUAGGGCGAAUAAGUCGUAUGCAAUAGACCCGAAACCGAGUGACCUAUCCAUGUCCAGGCUGAAGUGGAGGUAAAACUCCAUGGAGGGCCGAACACACGUCCGUUGAAAAGGCCGGUGAUGAGGUGUGGAUAGCGGAGAAAUUCCAAUCGAACUCGGAUAUAGCUGGUUCUCUCCGAAAUAGCUUUAGGGCUAGCCUCGUGAAAGAUUACUGGAGGUAAAGCACUGAAUGGGCUAGGGGUCGAAAGAUUACUGAACCCUAUCAAACUAAGAAUGCCAGAUAAUUGAUUCACGGGAGUCAGACAAUGUGAGAUAAGUCUCAUUGUCAAAAGGGAAACAGCCCAGACCCACAGCUAAGGUCCCUAAACAUUGUUAAGUGGAAAAGGAUGUGGGGUUGCAUAAACAACCAGGAUGUUGGCUUAGAAGCAGCCACUCAUUAAAAGAGUGCGUAAUAGCUCACUGGUCGAGUGACCCUGCGCCGAAAAUUCAACGGGGCUAAACAAUGUACCGAAGCUUGGGAUUCUAGAUUUAUCUAGAGUGGUAGGAGAGCGUCGAAUAAGGGGUGAAGUCAGAGCGGAAGCGCUGGUGGACUUUAUUCGAGUGAGAAUGCCGGAAUGAGUAGCGAGAAUUAUGUGAGAAUCAUAAUGGCCGAAAAUCUAAGGUUUCCUGAGGAAGGUUCGUCCGCUCAGGGUAAGCCGGGGGCUAAGGCGAGGCGGAGACGCGUAGCCGAUGCACAUACGGUUGAAAUUCCGUAGCCACCGAAAGAUUUAAGUACAGGGACGCUUUAGAAGUGAUGUUGCCGGGCGAUGGUUGACCCGGUCGUAAGGGAUCGAAAAUGAGUAGAGAAGUCAUCAUGGAAAGAGACAAGAAAAGCUGUAUGAAUAUCUUAGGUGCCCGUACCGCAAACCGACACAGGUAGAUAGGAAGAAGAUUCUAAGGCCAACGGGAGAAGGGUUGUUAAGGAACUCGGCAAGUUGACCCCGUAACUUAGGGAUAAGGGGUGCUCAAGUGAUUGAGCCGCAGAGAAUAGGCCCAGGCGACUGUUUAGCAAAAACACAGGUCUCUGCUAAAUCGAAAGAUGACGUAUAGGGGCUGACACCUGCCCGGUGCCGGAAGGUUAAGAGGAGAUGUGAGAGCAUUGAAUUGAAGCCCCGGUAAACGGCGGCCGUAACUAUAACGGUCCUAAGGUAGCGAAAUUCCUUGUCAGGUAAGUUCUGACCCGC
rnacentral:rRNA from 1 species